UACGUAGGGUGCAAGCGUUGUCCGGAAUUAUUGGGCGUAAAGAGCUCGUAGGCGGCUCGUCGCGUCGGCUGUGAAAACCUGGGGCUCAACCCCGGGCCUGCAGCCGAUACGGGCGAGCUAGAGUGUGGUAGGGGAGAUCGGAAUUCCUGGUGUAGCGGUGAAAUGCGCAGAUAUCAGGAGGAACACCGGUGGCGAAGGCGGAUCUCUGGGCCAUUACUGACGCUGAGGAGCGAAAGCGUGGGGAGCGAACAGG
rnacentral:rRNA from 1 species